GGAGUUGUGAGUACAGUCCUGAAAGAGAAAGCAAACAGGGAAAUCGUCAUGGUGUUGUUUUCGGGGCUAAUGUAGAUUUGCCAAAUGAACUGCAUAACCCCAUUUUACCUCUACCCAGUGUGCUGCAAAGAUCACAACAAUAUCAGCAACCUUCUUGUUCUUCAUCAAUGAUGAAUAUCUCAUCAGGGAUUUCAUCAUCAUCUGUACUAAAUUAUCAGAUGGAGCCCCCUUCAA
rnacentral:misc_RNA from 1 species